GCGGGGCAACCUGGCGGCGAGCGGCGAACGGGUGAGUAAUGCAUCGGAACAUGUCCAAUUGUGGGGGAUAGCCCGGCGAAAGCCGGAUUAAUACCGCAUGAGCCCGAGAGGGGAAAGUGGGGGACCGCAAGGCCUCACGCGAUUGGGUUGGCCGAUGUCCGAUUAGCUAGUUGGCGGGGUAAAGGCCCACCAAGGCGAUGAUCGGUAGCUGGUCUGAGAGGAUGAUCAGCCACACUGGGACUGAGACACGGCCCAGACUCCUACGGGAGGCAGCAGUGGGGAAUUUUGGACAAUGGGGGAAACCCUGAUCCAGCCAUUCCGCGUGAGUGAAGAAGGCCUUCGGGUUGUAAAGCUCUUUUGUCCGGAACGAAACGGGUAAGGCUAAUACCUUUGCCUACUGACGGUACCGGAAGAAUAAGCACCGGCUAACUACGUGCCAGCAGCCGCGGUAAUACGUAGGGUGCGAGCGUUAAUCGGAAUUACUGGGCGUAAAGCGUGCGCAGGCGGUUUUGCAAGCCAGAUGUGAAAGCCCCGGGCUCAACCUGGGAAUGGCAUUUGGGACUGCAAGGCUGGAGUGUGGCAGAGGAGACUGGAAUUCCUGGUGUAGCAGUGAAAUGCGUAGAUAUCAGGAGGAAUACCGAUGGCGAAGGCAGGUCUCUGGGCUGACACUGACGCUCAUGCACGAAAGCGUGGGGAGCAAACAGGAUUAGAUACCCUGGUAGUCCACGCCCUAAACGAUGUCGACUGGUUGUUGGGGGGUUUGACACUCUCAGUAACGAAGCUAACGCGU
rnacentral:rRNA from 1 species